GCCGGAAUAGCUCAGUUGGGAGAGCGUUAGACUAAAGAUCUAAAUGCCCCCCCCCCCGGUUCAAUCCCGGGUUCCGGCA